GACGUAGGGCGCGAGCGUUGUCCGGAUUUAUUGGGCGUAAAGAGCUCGUAGGCGGCUCGGUAAGUCGGGUGUGAAACCUCCAGGCUCAACCUGGAGACGCCACCCGAUACUACCGUGGCUAGAGUCCGGUAGAGGAGCGUAGAAUUCCUGGUGUAGCGGUGAAAUGCGCAGAUAUCAGGAGGAAUACCAGCGGCGAAGGCGGCUUUCUGGGCCUUACCUGACGCUGAGGAGCGAAAGCCAGGGGAGCAAACGGG
rnacentral:rRNA from 1 species